rnacentral:rRNA from 1 species
UACGGAGGGUGCAAGCGUUAUCCGGAUUCACUGGGUUUAAAGGGUGCGUAGGUGGGCAGGUAAGUCAGUGGUGAAAUCCCCGAGCUUAACUUGGGAACUGCCGUUGAUACUAUCUGUCUUGAAUGCUGUGGAGGUAAGCGGAAUAUGUCAUGUAGCGGUGAAAUGCUUAGAGAUGACAUAGAACACCAAUUGCGAAGGCAGCUUGCUACACAGAAAUUGACACUGAGGCACGAAAGCGUGGGGAGCAAACAGG